rnacentral:rRNA from 1 species
UACAGAGGUCUCAAGCGUUGUUCGGAUUCAUUGGGCGUAAAGGGUGCGUAGGCGGCGCGGUAAGUCGGGUGUGAAAUCUUGGAGCUUAACUCCGAAACUGCAUUCGAUACUGCCGUGCUUGAGGACUGGAGAGAAGACUGGAAUUUACGGUGUAGCGGUGAAAUGCGUAGAUAUCGUAAGGAAGACCAGUGGCGAAGGCGGGUCUCUGGACAGUUCCUGACGCUGAGGCACGAAGGCUAGGGGAGCAAACGGG